UACGUAGGGUGCAAGCGUUAAUCGGAAUUACUGGGCGUAAAGCGUGCGCAGGCGGCUUUGCAAGACAGAUGUGAAAUCCCCGGGCUUAACCUGGGAACUGCAUUUGUGACUGCUUGGCUGGAGUGCGGCAGAGGGGGAUGGAAUUCCGCGUGUAGCAGUGAAAUGCGUAGAUAUGCGGAGGAACACCGAUGGCGAAGGCAAUCCCCUGGGCCUGCACUGACGCUGUGGCGCGAAAGCUAGGGGAGCAAACGGG
rnacentral:rRNA from 1 species